GCUAAUGAUCAUCGUGACGGUGCCUCGACAACGAGGUGAAAAGGGAACGCGGUGAAGGACCGCGGCUGCCCCCGCAACUGUAAGCGGCGCGUCCUGCGCCAUCGGCCACUGGGUUUCCCGGGAAGGCGGAGCAGGACACCAAGCCGUGAGCCAGGAGACCUGCCGUCAUUCGAUGUCGUCCA
rnacentral:ncRNA from 15 species